UUUCCAAAGUUUGCAUGUUAACUUUAAAUGCUUACAAUCUUAGAGUGGUAGGCAAUGUUUUACAUUAUUGACCUUAUAUAGGGAAGGGAGGGGGUGCCUGUGGGUUUUUAAAGAAUUUUCCUUUGCAGAGGCAUUUCAUCCUUCAUGAAGCUGUUCAGGAUUUUGAAUUGCAUAUGAGUGCUUGGCUCUUCCUUCUGUUCUCCUAACUUCACAGAGAAUGCAGUUGUCUUGACUUCAGGUCUGUCUGUUCUGUUGGCAAGUAAAUGCAGUACUGUUCUGAUCCCGCUGCUAUUAGAAUGCAUUGUGAAACGACUGGAGUAUGAUUAAAAGUUGUGUUCCCCAAUGCUUGGAGUAGUGAUUGUUGAAGGAAAAAAUCCAGCUGAGUGAUAAAGGCUGAGUGUUGAGGAAAUUUCUGCAGUUUUAAGCAGUCGUAUUUGUGAUUGAAGCUGAGUACAUUUUGCUGGUGUAUUUUUAGGUAAAAUGCUUUUUGUUCAUUUCUGGUGCUGGGAGGGGACUGAAGCCUUUAGUCUUUUCCAGAUGCAACCUUAAAAUCAGUGACAAGAAACAAAUUCCAAACAAGCAACAGUCUUCAAGAAAUUAAACUGGCAAGUGGAAAUGUUUAAACAGUUCAGUGAUCUUUAGUGCAUUGUUUUUGUGUGGGUUUCUCUCUCCCCUCCCUUGGUCUUAAUUCUUACAUGCAGGAACACUCAGCAGACACACGUAUGCGAAG
rnacentral:lncRNA from 1 species